UACGUAGGGUGCGAACGUUGUCCGGAAUUAUUGGGCGUAAAGAGCUCGUAGGCGGUCUGUCGCGUCGAAUGUGAAAAUCCGAGGCUCAACCUCGGACCUGCAUUCGAUACGGGCAGACUAGAGUUCGGUAGGGGAGGCUGGAAUUCCUGGUGUAGCGGUGAAAUGCGCAGAUAUCAGGAGGAACACCGGUGGCGAAGGCGGGACUCUGGGCCGAUACUGACGCUGAGGAGCGAAAGCGUGGGGAGCAAACAGG
rnacentral:rRNA from 1 species